rnacentral:rRNA from 1 species
AUGCCUACGGGAUCCCUAGUAGCGGCGAGCGAAGCGGGAAGAGCUCAAAUUUAUAAUCUGGCACCUUCGGUGUCCGAGUUGUAAUCUCUAGAAGUGUUUUCCGCGUUGGACCGCACACAAGUCUGUUGGAAUACAGCGGCAUAGUGGUGAAACCCCCGUAUAUGGUGCGGACGCCCAGCGCUUUGUGAUACACUUUCAAUGAGUCGAGUUGUUUGGGAAUGCAGCUCAAAUUGGGUGGUAAAUUCCAUCUAAAGCUAAAUAUUGGCGAGAGACCGAUAGCGAACAAGUACCGUGAGGGAAAGAUGAAAAGCACUUUGGAAAGAGAGUUAACAGUACGUGAAAUUGUUGGAAGGGAAACGCUUGAAGUCAGACUUGCUUGCCGGAGCUUGCUUCGGUUUGCAGGCCAGCAUCAGUUUUCCGGGGUGGAUAAUGACGGUUUGAAGGUAGCAGUCUCGGCUGUGUUAUAGCUUUCCGUUGGAUACGCCCUGGGGGACUGAGGAACGCAGCGUGCUUUUUGCGAAAGACUCGUCUUUUUCACGCUUAGGAUGCUGGUGGAAUGGCUUUAAACGACCCGUCUUGAAACCACGGACCCA